rnacentral:rRNA from 1 species
UUAAGCGACUAAGCGUACACGGUGGAUGCCCUGGCAGUCAGAGGCGAUGAAGGACGUGCUAAUCUGCGAUAAGCGUCGGUAAGGUGAUAUGAACCGUUAUAACCGGCGAUUUCCGAAUGGGGAAACCCAGUGUGAUUUGUCACACUAUCAUUAACUGAAUCCAUAGGUUAAUGAGGCGAACCGGGGGAACUGAAACAUCUAAGUACCCCGAGGAAAAGAAAUCAACCGAGAUUCCCCCAGUAGCGGCGAGCGAACGGGGAGGAGCCCAGAGCCUGAAUCAGUGUGUGUGUUAGUGGAAGCGUCUGGAAAGGCGCGCGAUACAGGGUGACAGCCCCGUACACAAAAAUGCACAUGCUGUGAGCUCGAUGAGUAGGGCGGGACACGUGGUAUCCUGUCUGAAUAUGGGGGGACCAUCCUCCAAGGCUAAAUACUCCUGACUGACCGAUAGUGAACCAGUACCGUGAGGGAAAGGCGAAAAGAACCCCGGCGAGGGGAGUGAAAAAGAACCUGAAACCGUGUACGUACAAGCAGUGGGAGCACGCUUCGGCGUGUGACUGCGUACCUUUUGUAUAAUGGGUCAGCGACUUAUAUUCUGUAGCAAGGUUAACCGAAUAGGGGAGCCGAAGGGAAACCGAGUCUUAACUGGGCGUUAAGUUGCAGGGUAUAGACCCGAAACCCGGUGAUCUAGCCAUGGGCAGGUUGAAGGUUGGGUAACACUAACUGGAGGACCGAACCGACUAAUGUUGAAAAAUUAGCGGAUGACUUGUGGCUGGGGGUGAAAGGCCAAUCAAACCGGGAGAUAGCUGGUUCUCCCCGAAAGCUAUUUAGGUAGCGCCUCGUGAAUUCAUCUCCGGGGGUAGAGCACUGUUUCGGCAAGGGGGUCAUCCCGACUUACCAACCCGAUGCAAACUGCGAAUACCGGAGAAUGUUAUCACGGGAGACACACGGCGGGUGCUAACGUCCGUCGUGAAGAGGGAAACAACCCAGACCGCCAGCUAAGGUCCCAAAGUCAUGGUUAAGUGGGAAACGAUGUGGGAAGGCCCAGACAGCCAGGAUGUUGGCUUAGAAGCAGCCAUCAUUUAAAGAAAGCGUAAUAGCUCACUGGUCGAGUCGGCCUGCGCGGAAGAUGUAACGGGGCUAAACCAUGCACCGAAGCUGCGGCAGCGACACUAUGUGUUGUUGGGUAGGGGAGCGUUCUGUAAGCCUGUGAAGGUGGCCUGUGAGGGUUGCUGGAGGUAUCAGAAGUGCGAAUGCUGACAUAAGUAACGAUAAAGCGGGUGAAAAGCCCGCUCGCCGGAAGACCAAGGGUUCCUGUCCAACGUUAAUCGGGGCAGGGUGAGUCGACCCCUAAGGCGAGGCCGAAAGGCGUAGUCGAUGGGAAACAGGUUAAUAUUCCUGUACUUGGUGUUACUGCGAAGGGGGGACGGAGAAGGCUAUGUUGGCCGGGCGACGGUUGUCCCGGUUUAAGCGUGUAGGCUGAUUUUCCAGGCAAAUCCGGAAAAUCAAGGCUGAGGCGUGAUGACGAGGCACUACGGUGCUGAAGCAACAAAUGCCCUGCUUCCAGGAAAAGCCUCUAAGCAUCAGGUAACAUCAAAUCGUACCCCAAACCGACACAGGUGGUCAGGUAGAGAAUACCAAGGCGCUUGAGAGAACUCGGGUGAAGGAACUAGGCAAAAUGGUGCCGUAACUUCGGGAGAAGGCACGCUGAUAUGUAGGUGAAGCGACUUGCUCGUGGAGCUGAAAUCAGUCGAAGAUACCAGCUGGCUGCAACUGUUUAUUAAAAACACAGCACUGUGCAAACACGAAAGUGGACGUAUACGGUGUGACGCCUGCCCGGUGCCGGAAGGUUAAUUGAUGGGGUUAGCGGUAACGCGAAGCUCUUGAUCGAAGCCCCGGUAAACGGCGGCCGUAACUAUAACGGUCCUAAGGUAGCGAAAUUCCUUGUCGGGUAAGUUCCGACCUGCACGAAUGGCGUAAUGAUGGCCAGGCUGUCUCCACCCGAGACUCAGUGAAAUUGAACUCGCUGUGAAGAUGCAGUGUACCCGCGGCAAGACGGAAAGACCCCGUGAACCUUUACUAUAGCUUGACACUGAACAUUGAGCCUUGAUGUGUAGGAUAGGUGGGAGGCUUUGAAGUGUGGACGCCAGUCUGCAUGGAGCCGACCUUGAAAUACCACCCUUUAAUGUUUGAUGUUCUAACGUUGACCCGUGAUCCGGGUUGCGGACAGUGUCUGGUGGGUAGUUUGACUGGGGCGGUCUCCUCCUAAAGAGUAACGGAGGAGCACGAAGGUUGGCUAAUCCUGGUCGGACAUCAGGAGGUUAGUGCAAUGGCAUAAGCCAGCUUGACUGCGAGCGUGACGGCGCGAGCAGGUGCGAAAGCAGGUCAUAGUGAUCCGGUGGUUCUGAAUGGAAGGGCCAUCGCUCAACGGAUAAAAGGUACUCCGGGGAUAACAGGCUGAUACCGCCCAAGAGUUCAUAUCGACGGCGGUGUUUGGCACCUCGAUGUCGGCUCAUCACAUCCUGGGGCUGAAGUAGGUCCCAAGGGUAUGGCUGUUCGCCAUUUAAAGUGGUACGCGAGCUGGGUUUAGAACGUCGUGAGACAGUUCGGUCCCUAUCUGCCGUGGGCGCUGGAGAACUGAGGGGGGCUGCUCCUAGUACGAGAGGACCGGAGUGGACGCAUCACUGGUGUUCGGGUUGUCAUGCCAAUGGCACUGCCCGGUAGCUAAAUGCGGAAGAGAUAAGUGCUGAAAGCAUCUAAGCACGAAACUUGCCCCGAGAUGAGUUCUCCCUGACUCCUUGAGAGUCCUGAAGGAACGUUGAAGACGACGACGUUGAUAGGCCGGGUGUGUAAGCGCAGCGAUGCGUUGAGCUAACCGGUACUAAUGAACCGUGAGGCUUAACCU